UACGCUUUGGUCCGGCUUGGCGGGCGGUUCAGGCGCUUGUCGAAGCGCCCUACCCCAGUGCAAGUCUGGAAGGCGUUGC
rnacentral:tRNA from 1 species